rnacentral:rRNA from 1 species
GACGUAGGGCGCGAGCGUUGUCCGGAUUUACUGGGCGUAAAGAGCGCGCAGGCGGUCGUUCAAGUCGAGUGUGAAAGCCCCCGGCUCAACUGGGGAGGGUCAUUCGAUACUGAUCGACUUGAAGGCAGGAGAGGGAAGUGGAAUUCCGGGUGUAGUGGUGAAAUGCGUAGAUAUCCGGAGGAACACCGGUGGCGAAGGCGGAUCUCUGGGCCUUACCUGACGCUCAGGCGCGAAAGCUAGGGGAGCGAACGUGG